rnacentral:rRNA from 1 species
AUCCUGGCUCAGAUUGAACGCUGGCGGCAGGCUUAACACAUGCAAGUCGAGCGGAGAUGAGGUGCUUGCACCUUAUCUUAGCGGCGGACGGGUGAGUAAUGCUUAGGAAUCUGCCUAUUAGUGGGGGACAACAUUUCGAAAGGAAUGCUAAUACCGCAUACGCCCUACGGGGGAAAGCAGGGGAUCUUCGGACCUUGCGCUAAUAGAUGAGCCUAAGUCGGAUUAGCUAGUUGGUGGGGUAAAGGCCUACCAAGGCGACGAUCUGUAGCGGGUCUGAGAGGAUGAUCCGCCACACUGGGACUGAGACACGGCCCAGACUCCUACGGGAGGCAGCAGUGGGGAAUAUUGGACAAUGGGGGGAACCCUGAUCCAGCCAUGCCGCGUGUGUGAAGAAGGCCUUUUGGUUGUAAAGCACUUUAAGCGAGGAGGAGGAGCUCUAGAUUAAUACUCUAGAUGCUUGGACGUUACUCGCAGAAUAAGCACCGGCUAA